UGCUCGAAACAUUCAUUCGAUCGGUGGC
rnacentral:piRNA from 1 species